rnacentral:lncRNA from 1 species
GAUAUGCUGUCUGCAAGCUGAGGAAGAAGGAAGCCAAUAGUGGCUCAGUCAGAGUUCAGAAGCCUCAAAAGCAGGGAAGCUGAUAGUAUAGCCUUCAGUCUGUGGCUGAAGGCCUGAGAGCCCCUGGAAAACCACUGGUGUAAGUCCAAGAGUCCAGAAGCUGAAGAACCUGGAGUCUGAUGACCAAGGGCAGGAAGCAUCCAGCACGGGACAAAGAAGAAAGCCAGAAGACUCAGCAAGCCAGCUCAUCUCACUUUCUUCUGCCUACUUUGUUGUAGCUGAGCUGGCAGCCAGUUGGAUGGUGCACACUCACAUUGAGGAUUGGGAGGCUGCUGUGUAUGGAUAAGAUACCUGCUACAGCCAGCUUGACACCAUGAGAAGGACAAGAGAAUUGCAGAGACACAUAUCCAGGAUUCUGAUCCAGUUGAGGCACUGAAAUAAUCUAGAACCACCUUCAAAUUUCUUAUAAAGAGAGCUAUGCUAUUAGGAUUUAAUUAAAUGGAUGCCAACAGCAAGUAAACCAUCUCCAAAGAUGCCAUGAAGCUCUCCUAAUUGCAGGAAAAUAUCAGAGGCACUUGAUUUGAGUCUUUCAAGUACGGAAAUAACAAAUUCAGUCUCAACAGACCUAUAGUGAAUGAGAAUGAUUGUCACAUAAUGUGUAGAGAAAAUGGAAGAAUCAAAGGCAAGGGAAACCUGUACAGUGGAGACACAAAGGGUCACUGGCAGAUUUCAAAUGAUCCAAGACAUCCUCAAGACAUUGAGAUCUGCUGGUUGGAGAUCUUAGUGCCCAAGGAAGAAUGCUUGCAAAAGGAGAUGGAACAGUGUUUCUGUUGCAUUGGCCACUGAGAAUAUCUGGUUAUUUUGAAUUUGUCACAGUCUGCAGCUAAAAGGCGAACAGGAAAAGAAGAGAGAGCGGUAAUUUGAAUGAUAGCAGAUUUCACAUCAGGAACCAAUGAAGCUAGAUAAGAAUGCAACAUCUUUGAUGUCUAAAAGAAACAAAAAGCCAACCUUGAAUUCUUUAUUUAGUGAAGUUACCCUUCAGAAAUGACGGCAAAAUAAAGAU